UACGAAGGGGGCUAGCGUUGCUCGGAAUUACUGGGCGUAAAGGGCGCGUAGGCGGCGCAUUUAGUCAGGCGUGAAAGCCCUGGGCUCAACCUGGGGACUGCGCUUGAGACGGGUGUGCUGGAGGACGGAAGAGGGUCGCGGAAUUCCCAGUGUAGAGGUGAAAUUCGUAGAUAUUGGGAAGAACACCGGUGGCGAAGGCGGCGACCUGGUCCGUUACUGACGCUGAGGCGCGACAGCGUGGGGAGCAAAC
rnacentral:rRNA from 1 species